AACCAAUAUUUCGAACACGAAGCGAGAAGUUUCUGUGCUCGGACUGUGACGAGAGGAGACACGAGUCACUCGCCUCUAAAGAUGAAGUCUGUUCUCUGUUCUGAACACACAGAAUCAACCUGGUGCUUCCUGCAGGAACCGGUUCUGGAGGCUGAUGGAACCGUUGGAUCCAAAAGCGCCUCGACUCUUCUGCAGGCAACAACAGUUUGAUGAGUGAGGCAGCAUCAGGUGUCACGUCCACGAUGUGAGUCAGUCAUUACCGACAUCCUCAGAGGAGGAAGGAGUUCGCCUGGUCGUGUCGCCGAUCCGUGGUGCAACAAUCAAACGUGUCCCCGGAGGGACGCCGGUGCUAGGAACUAAUGGCUCCUCUGGGAAACAGCCGGGGCUGAUGGGGCUGUUUGUGUCGGUCGCAGCUGAAACAACCUGCCGACUGAUGAAUCAGCAGCACAGAUGGUUAUGCAGAUUUAUGUUUUUCACAUUAAUAAAAUGAUGCUAAUUUUAGACCACUUAACAUAAUGAAUGGAUUUUUUUUUGGAGCAUUUGUUGUUUUGAUGAGAGGAUCGUGAGAUGUGAAGAAUUCAAAGCCUGUCACACCAUUUA